UUUAUUUCUAUAUUUUUAAGGGCAAUUGUCAAUAAUAUCACCUUUUGAAGUUUAUGUCUAAAAAAUAGCACUAGAAGGAAAAAAUCACAAAAGUGACAUUCAUUAAAGGGUAAAAUAUCUAUAAUACCAUUGGUUUAAAAUUAAAUAAACAAACAAAAAUAAAUAAAAAUAAAUAAAAUAAAAAUAAAAAAAUGAAAAAAAUAAAUUUUUUUAUAGUUCAGAUUAUAUGUUUUCAGAUUCGAAAUUUUUAUAAUUUUUUUUUUGAAAUUUUUUUUUGGACAAAUCUCCAAAAUAGCACCUUUCUAGGUUUAUAUCACAAAAAUAGCAUUCAAAAACUAAAAUGAUCAAAAUAGCAUUUUAUCUUUUGAAAAAUUUAAAUUUUUUUAUUUUUUAAAAUUUGAAAUCUUAUCCCCAAAACCUCACUUCUCAACUCUAAACCCUAAAACCUAAACUCUAAACCCUAAACCCUAAAUUCUAAACCCUAAACCCCACCCCUUGAGUGCUAUUUUUGUGACUUUUGGCCUUCAGUGCUAGUUUGAAAACAAAAACUUGAUUUAGUUCUAUUUUGGUCUUUUUCUCUCUUUUUUUCGAAUUUUUUUUUUCAAAUUUUCUUUUUAUUAUUUAAAAAUACUUUUUGAAACUGUUUUUAAAAUUUUUAUUUUUUAUUUUAGUAUUUAUUUUUUAUAAAAUUUUAAACUCUAAUUCUAAAACUCCACCCCUUAACUCUAAACCCUAAGAUUUGGAUUAAUUAACCCAAGGGGUAUAAAUGUAUAUUUACCUCUUUAAUGAAACCUAUUUUUGUGACUUUGAGCCUUGAGUGCUACUUUGGGAACAAAAACUUGGUUUGGUGCUAUCUUAAUCUUUUUCUCUAUUUUUAAUGGUAAAUAUUCUUAA
rnacentral:lncRNA from 1 species